CCUACGGGCGGCUGCAGUGAGGAAUAUUGGUCAAUGGACGAGAGUCUGAACCAGCCAAGUAGCGUGAAGGAUGACUGCCCUAUGGGUUGUAAACUUCUUUUAUAUGGGAAUAAAAUGUUCCACGUGUGGGAUUUUGUAUGUACCAUAUGAAUAAGGAUCGGCUAACUCCGUGCCAGCAGCCGCGGUAAUACGGAGGAUCCGAGCGUUAUCCGGAUUUAUUGGGUUUAAAGGGAGCGUAGGUGGAUUGUUAAGUCAGUUGUGAAAGUUUGCGGCUCAACCGUAAAAUUGCAGUUGAAACUGGCAGUCUUGAGUACAGUAGAGGUGGGCGGAAUUCGUGGUGUAGCGGUGAAAUGCUUAAAUAUCACGAAGAACUCCGAUUGCGAAGGCAGUUCACUGGACUGCAACUGACACUGAGGCUCGAAAGUGUGGGUAUCAAACAGGAUUAGAUACCCUUGUAGUC
rnacentral:rRNA from 1 species